AUUGAACGCUGGCGGCAGGCUUAACACAUGCAAGUCGAGCGGGGUGAUGGUGCUUGCACUAUCACUUAGCGGCGGACGGGUGAGUAAUGCUUAGGAAUCCGCCUAUUAGUGGGGGACAACAUCUCGAAAGGGAUGCUAAUACCGCAUACGUCCUACGGGAGAAAGCAGGGGAUCACUUGUGACCUUGCGCUAAUAGAUGAGCCAAAGUCGGAUUAGCUAGUUGGUGGGGUAAAGGCCUACCAAGGCGACGAUCUGUAGCGGGUCUGAGAGGGUGAUCCGCCACACUGGGACUGAGAAACGGCCCAGACUCCUACAGGGGGCAGCAGUGGGGAAUAUUGGACAAUGGGGGGAACCCUGAUCCAGCCAUGCCGCGUGUGUGAAGAAGGCCUUAUGGUUGUAAAGCACUUUAAGCGAGGAGGAGGCUCUUUUGGUUAAUACCCAAGAUGAGUGGACGUUACUCGCAGAAUAAGCACCGGCUAACUCUGUGCCAGCCGCCGCGGUAA
rnacentral:rRNA from 1 species